CCUACGGGAGGCAGCAGUGGGGAAUAUUGCGCAAUGGGCGAAAGCCUGACGCAGCCACGCCGCGUGGGUGAUGAAGGCCUUCGGGUUGUAAAGCCCUGUCGUAGGGGAAGAACGCAAUGACGGUACCCUACAAGAAAGCACCGGCCAACUCCGUGCCAGCAGCCGCGGUAAUACGGAGGGUGCAAGCGUUGCUCGGAAUCACUGGGCGUAAAGCGUACGCAGGCGGAUCGUUAAGUCGGGUGUGAAAGCCCGGGGCUCAACCCCGGAAUUGCAUUCGAAACUGGCGGUCUUGAGUACGGGAGAGGGAGGUGGAAUUCCUGGUGUAGAGGUGAAAUUCGUAGAUAUCAGGAGGAACACCGGUGGCGAAAGCGGCCUCCUGGCCCGAUACUGACGCUCAUGUACGAGAGCGUGGGGAGCAAACAGGAUUAGAUACCCUGGUAGUCCACGCUGUAAACGAUGAGUGCUAGCUGGUGGGAAUGUUUACCGUCUCGCUGGCGAAGCUAACGCAUUAAGCACUCCGCCUGGGAAGUACGGCCGCAAGGCUAAAACUUAAAGGAAUUGACGG
rnacentral:rRNA from 1 species